rnacentral:rRNA from 1 species
GACGAACGCUGGCGGCACGCUUAACACAUGCAAGACGAACGGUGAAGAGAAGCUUGCUUCUCGGAUCAGUGGCGGACGGGUGAGUAACACGUGAGCAACCUGCCUUUAAGAGGGGGAUAACGUUUGGAAACGAACGCUAAUACCGCAUAAUAUAGAAGAUUCGCAUGUUUCUUCUAUCAAAGAUUUAUCGCUUAAAGAUGGGCUCGCGUCUGAUUAGCUGGUUGGUGAGGUAACGGCUCACCAAGGCGACGAUCAGUAGCCGUACUGAGAGGUAGAACGGCCACAUUGGGACUGAGACACGGCCCAGACUCCUACGGGAGGCAGCAGUGGGGAAUAUUGCACAAUGGAGGGAACUCUGAUGCAGCGAUGCCGCGUGAGGGAAGAAGGUUUUCGGAUUGUAAACCUC